UCCCAGCUUCUGACUCAAAGAGCGUUAAUGAGGACAGGAGCUGGUUGUUCUCAGCAGAUCCCACCAAACUGUGAAAGCAGCAGAUGAGAAGUAACAGCUGCACUCUACCCAGGGUCCAAAAGGUUUUAUAGGGAGAAAUGCUAUCUGCCCUGGGAGGAGAAGAAAAAAAUGAAAUAAAGUCUGCCCAGUGUACAUCAUCUGAAUUAUCCUACUCAGUACUCAAUGAUGGUCACAUUAAAGAAAGUGCAGGAGCCAGCAGGACCUGAAGAAGCUGUCCAACCUCAGAAGAAAUGGCCCACGACCCAAAAAGCUUUCAAGUGAAGUGAAGAAACCCAACAAGAUAACAGUCUAAAGGAAGCACAAAGGCACAAGGAUGACAAGACUGGUCAGCCCUGGAAGCAGAGACCUUGAGGCAUGCAAGCUGCUGCUCAGCAGUCGUCCAAGCACUGCGUAGUCCACCUGGCAGAGGAAACGGUGGAAGGGAAUAAGGUGGAUAUGCGCUAGCUGUACAGAGCUGUGCCUAAUUAUGGGGUCAACCUGAGGAGAAAGCAUGAAGGUGAUUCCUCUGCACUCUAGUAAGAGGGCAAUGAAGCAGCCUUUACACAUGGGAAGCAGAAUCUCAGACUUCAAUAUACCCUUGCAGAGAGGCCGAUGACUGCCAAAGACUAGACUGCGUUUUGUCUCUAUGAUGAUCACAGCUUGGAGGAAGCUUGGCUGAACAGCAUGUCUUGCUAUACCAAUUCCAGAAUGAAGCAUAACUUCCUCUGCAAAUGCUCCCAGUUUUAGUGCACUUCAUCAGAGCCAAAUGCACAAGCACUGGCCUCUCAAAUGAGCUCGGUGGGAGCAAUGACAUUUCACAGAAUCACAGAAUGGUAGGGGUUGGACAACAUCUGCUGAGCUGACUUCCAGCCCCCCACUGCUGGUGGAUUCUGUAGGUAACAGUAGAGGCAGCAGAGAUACCAACACCAAAGGGAAGGAAUUCAGCAAAAGAGUAUUUGAAAUGAGGUCUUUAAAUACAGUUGGUUUUCAUGCUUGUCACUAAUCCCAUAUUGCUGAGAGCUAAUACAUAAACCAAGGGUCACUGAAGGAGAAUGAAUGGGGAAAAGCAGUUUGUGAGGAACAGGAUUCGGACUAUCAGCUUUGUAGAGUGGGACCAAAGGAAAUUCUUUUGUUUCUCAUUUGUACCUGGUGUUAUUUCCUACAGCCCUGGAGCCUUCCCUUGUUACGUUAGAGUAACUGCUGUCAAGUUUAGCUGUGAGCAAGGCAAACCACUGAAAAAAAUGUUUCUUUUUAAAACACAGGGUAUCCACAGUGCACUGGACUUGACUUCAAGUUGAGAGACGUGGCAUUGGCAGUGCUAUCAGGCUUACAACUACAGAAGGAGUUUUCACCUUGCAUUGACAGCGAGAGAACUGGGUAAAGCAUACCAUGUCGGAACAGAAAAAUGGCUAUUGGUUUUGAAAAGCUGAGCUCCUACAAUCACUCUGAGCAAAGCUCCAGACCCACAUAACAUUAGCUGUGUUUUAUAGUCAGUGACUGAGGAAAGCCUAUCGUUGUCGGGCCGUUUUGGUGAUUACUUGUGCCUACGGGAUGGCUGUGGCAGCCAAACGACAAGAUCACAGGACAAACUAGCAGGGGAGAAAAACGACAUUAUUCCUGGCAGAGCAUCAUGCCGAGACCCUGGCUUCCUGCUGCAAAAAACAGGAAAUGUUUACUUCUGGAACAAUGAUGGACUAAAUUCAGUGCUGGUGGGGUACAUUCACAGAAGUCCCUGCACCUUUACAACUGGGCAGUUUUCUGUGCCAGUGUCCUAGGAAUAACAACUAAAUAGAGAAAGGGCUUUUUAGGGAGGUUCAUUUUUUCUUGCCCAUAAAAGUUGGAGACUGUGGGGUUUGCAUGCUCUGGUGUUUUGGCCAAUCCACCCCUAAAUGGUCCAGCUGAUUCGACUCCUACUAGUUGUUCAGGGACACUAUUCUAUAGCAUGUUUCAAUGUGAACAGUUUCAGAAUCAAGCUUAAAUUCUCCUUUGUGAUAUCCUGUCCCCCCACCUUCCUGGAGCACUUGCAAGACACCUGAUGAGUACCAAUGACAAAGCUAGGACCAGGGAUGGACAGUUAUAAGGAUCUGCUCUACUCCUUUCCUGGGAACUUUGCUAAUGCAAGUAGUAAAGGCUCUCCCCAGAGAGAGCCUCCACCAGCUUCAGCUCUGCUCUGAGAAAAUGAGGGAAAUGAUGCAACACCUGAGGCUGUUGACACAUUGAACUGAUCUCACAGCUGACUAAUGAGGAGGCAGACAAGCAAAGAGGGAAAAAUGCUUGAGACAAAUUCUGGAGGUGUUCAGCUUUUGUAUAUCCCCACAAAGCAGAUGAGAUUCUUCAACAUGAACAA